CGCAAGAUACCGACCUAGAAGCCAACCGGCUAAGUCUCAGUAGCUUCUGGGGUCUCUUCCUCCUCUCCGGCAUCGUGUGCGUUCUUGCUCUCAUCGUCUACAUCAUCAAGACAAGCUGUCAGUACAGCAAGUUUAGCAGCACAGAGGCUGGCAAAUCCAAGGAAAAUGUCGAGGUAAGCAGCAACCGAAAGGAUCCCAAACUUAGCAAGUUAAAGAGCUUCAAGAACUUGAUGCACUUCGUCGAUACCAAGGAAGAAGAGAUUGAUAACGUGAUCAAGAGGAGACUGAGUGACAAACAACAACAACAAGGUGCUUCUACUUCAGAUAAUGGGCCUUCUACGUCACAUGCAUAGAAGUUGGU
rnacentral:lncRNA from 1 species